GUCAGCCCAACCCUACUCGGAAAUUGCUGGGGGUCUUUUUUGCUUCUGAAACCCCACGCUCUUGCUCGCCGAAGGUAAAAUUGCAGCCGAAUAGCAUCAUCAUCUAACACCACAGACCAGCGCCGGAGUUUCCCUGCAGAAGCUAGCUCAGGUGUUGCUAGAGGUUCAGCUCUUCAUUUUUUCGGCAAGAAGCAUUAUGAAGCUGGCAACCUGCUUGUCCUGUGAUGCAAACGAACCCUGUUUUGGACAAGCACCUGCCAUAAUUCUGUGAUUGUUAUUAGCAGAUGCUUACAUUCACCGAUCAUGAGUGCAUCUUUGUCCAAUUGAAGUAUUUUUGUGUGAAAUUUUCCUUAUUUGCGCUUAUUUGAAAAUAAUGCAAGAUAGACUUGAAGAAAUACUGCUCUUGUUUUCUUGUUUUCAGAAUGAGAUGUUUUAGGGAACAGAUUUGAUAUUUGAAUUCUUUUAUUCAAUAUUUCCUGCCCCAAGCAAUAUUCAAGAGGAUGCAGAUGAUCA